UACGGAGGAUGCGAGCGUUAUCCGGAUUCAUUGGGUUUAAAGGGUGCGUAGGCGGACUAUUAAGUCAGUGGUGAAAUCCUGCAGCUUAACUGCAGAACUGCCAUUGAUACUGAUAGCCUUGAGUUUGGUUAAGGUAGGCGGAAUGUGUAAUGUAGCGGUGAAAUGCUUAGAUAUUACACAGAACACCAAUUGCGUAGGCAGCUUACUGAGCCGACACUGACGCUGAGGCACGAAAGCGUGGGGAUCGAACAGG
rnacentral:rRNA from 1 species